GACGAACGCUGGCGGCGUGCUUAACACAUGCAAGUCGAACGGAAAGGCCCUGCUUUUGUGGGGUGCUCGAGUGGCGAACGGGUGAGUAACACGUGAGUAACCUGCCCUUGACUUUGGGAUAACUUCAGGAAACUGGGGCUAAUACCGGAUAGGAGCUCCUGCUGCAUGGUGGGGGUUGGAAAGUUUCGGCGGUUGGGGAUGGACUCGCGGCUUAUCAGCUUGUUGGUGGGGUAGUGGCUUACCAAGGCUUUGACGGGUAGCCGGCCUGAGAGGGUGACCGGCCACAUUGGUACUGAGAUACGGCCCAGACUCCUACGGGAGGCAGCGGUGGGGAAUAUGGCGCAAUGGGCGGAAGCCUGAUGCAGCAACGCCGCGUGCGGGAUGACGGCCUUCGGGUUGUAAACCGCUUUCGCCUGUGACGAAGCGUGAGUGACGGUAAUGGGUAAAGAAGCACCGGCUAACUACGUG
rnacentral:rRNA from 1 species